rnacentral:lncRNA from 1 species
UGGAGGUUGAAAGUUUAGUCUGAGAAAUUUUUUUUUGUUUUCUAGAUGCUGAUUCGGAGGGUUGGUCUACUGCAUUUGUGAAAAAAAUGGUUACAGACGGAUUUUAGCCCCACCUCUAUUGCACAGAAGAUUUUUCCACAGGGACACUCCGAACACCCAGAGUUGAGUCCUGAAGCAGAAGCCUCAGAACCGCAUCAUGCCGUUCAGCAUCCUCUUUAUCUAGAAGAGGAAGAGGAGGAGAUCUACAUCUCAGAGCAGAUGCAGGAAAUUACUGAUGGUAUUCAUGCCUGUAAAUCUUUGGAUUAAAAUUAAUUCUACAGACUUUAAGAUUUUGAUUUGGUUUUCUUUUUAGCUCCACCCUUCAUCCAGGUACCCACUGAGGACCUGUGUGUACAACCAGGGCAACAGGCAACAUUCACAGCGAUCGUGACAGGAAGACCUGCUCCAAAGAUACACUGGUUCAAGGUGAGAGCACCUUGAAAUAUUGGAAUAGUGUCAAACUCACUCGUUGGAAUGUUACUGGUUGUAUUUAUUACUAUUUUUAUGAAAAAUACGUU